UCUCUAUGUUACCCAGACUGGUCUUGAACUGCUGGGCUCAAGGCAUCCUCCUGCCUCAGCCUCCCAAGGUGUGAGUCAUCAUGCCCAGCUACAGGCUGGGAUUUUAAACCAGAGCUAGUGGCCUUUCGAAUAGAGGUAUCUGCCUGUUUUAGAUUCCAGACCCCCACCCUUGUCCCUACCCACAUCACUCCUCCUUCAUCAAGAAGGAAGAGCAAAGAAAACCUUCCCUUGGAACAUCAGGCAAGGCUCUCUGCUUCCUGUGUCACUAUGAUAACCAGCCCUAGUCAAUUUCCUCACAAGGAAGCGGGGGAAGGGAAGGUCAAACAGAGCUUCCCCGGCAACAUUCUGUGGGCAAACACAGGGCCAGUGUGCUCGAGCCUCUGUGUUCUCAUUUAAAUGAGGUGAAUCACUCCUGGAAUUGGAGCUGGGAAGCAGGCCAUGUUCCUAAGGAGCCAAUGGCACCCAGCCAUAUUGAAGAAGCCCCAGAAACUCCAGGGCCGUGAGAACCACAACAAGAGCCACAUCUGCAAGAACCAGGAGUAACUGAAUGCUGUGAUAAUGCUGGUGACAGCAAUUACAACAGAUGUCACCCAUAUGAUGUGGGAAGGCUGGUCUGAGACAACCCACUUCAAAAGGAAAUAGCUUCUGCCCUACCGCUAUUCUUACAAACCUUGGUCAGUGUGCAGACACAUCAGUGGUACCAAAACAGAGCUAGAGCUGCCAUCGCUGAUGGUGAUUGGGCAACUAAAAAGUUCUAGGGGAGGGAAAGCCCUAAAGCAGUCCAUCAUCCCAAAGACAAAAUUCCUCAGCAGAAGAGCCAAGAAGAGUAAUGGCCUAUGUGUGUGGCGGGGAAGGGAUCUGUGCCCUGCGGGUGUGAAGCCACAAGAAGUCAAUUAAACGAUAAAUACUUUGGAAAAUA